rnacentral:rRNA from 1 species
AAUCAACGCUGGCGGCGUGCCUAACACAUGCAAGUCGCACGAGAAAGCGGACUUCGGUCUGCAAGUACAGUGGCGCACGGGUGAGUAACACGUGAAUUAUCUACCUUCGAGUGGGGAAUAACCUCGGGAAACCGAGGCUAAUACCGCAUAACACUUACGAGUCAAAGCAGCAAUGCGCUUGAAGAGGAGUUCGCAGCAGAUUAGUUAGUUGGCGGGGUAAUGGCCCACCAAGACGAUGAUCUGUAUCCGGCCUGAGAGGGCGCACGGACACACUGGAACUGAAACACGGUCCAGACUCCUACGGGAGGCAGCAGUGGGGAAUCUUGCGCAAUAGGGGAAACCCUGACGCAGCAACGCCGCGUGGAGGAUGAAAUCCCUUGGGAUGUAAACUCCUUUCGAUCGGGACGAUUAUGACGGUACCGGAAGAAGAAGCCCCGGCUAACUUCGUGCCAGCCGCCGCCGUAA